rnacentral:lncRNA from 1 species
CUCUGGGAAUCCCCUGUGGUCUGCGUUACAUGGUCGCCUGAGCAUCGGAAGCGGAGGUGAGACAAGAACCUGGAGCAGACGGGGCAGGAGACUAUGCUGCGUGUGGAGUGCUGCUGCUGUGGCCGGCGGGUGAUUCCAUCAGGAAAGUCCAUCUGGAGCCCAGUCUCCCGGCACUGCCGAUUGCGGAAGGAAUGACUCCAUUAAAGAAAGAUGCAGCCCUAUGACGUUAGAAUUCAAGGGCCGCAUCAUGACGUUUCGAUGAACAAGGGAUUGCAUAUAUGACGGUGGUCCC